rnacentral:tRNA from 1 species
GUGGGUGUAGCUCAGUAGGUUAGAGCGCAGGAUUGUGGCUCCUGAGGCCGUGGGUUCAAAUCCCAUCACUCACCCCA